rnacentral:rRNA from 1 species
AUACGUAGGGUGCAAGCGUUGUUCGGAUUUAUUGGGCGUAAAGGGUCCGCAGGGGGUCCGCCAAGUCUGAUGUGAAAUCCCGUGGCUCAACCACGGAACUGCAUUGGAAACUAGCAGACUAGAGUAUUGGAGAGGUAAGUGGAAUUUCUGGUGGAUCGGUGGAAUGCGUAGAUAUCAGAAAGAACACCGAGAGCGAAGGCAGCUUACUGGACAAUUACUGACCCUCAGGGACGAAAGCAUGGGUAGCAAACAGGAUUAGAAACCCUAGUAGUCC